rnacentral:rRNA from 1 species
GUCUACGGUCAGGCCACCCUGAACAAGACCAAGCACAUCUGAUCUCAGAAGCUAAGCAAGGUUGGGCCUAGUUAUUACUUCGAUGGGAGACCACCUAAGAAGACCAGGUACUGCAGGUG